rnacentral:rRNA from 1 species
GACGAACGCUGGCGGCGUGCCUAAUACAUGCAAGUCGAGCGGACCAAAGGGAGCUUGCUCCUGGAGGUUAGCGGCGAACGGGUGAGUAACACGUGGGCAACCUGCCUGUAAGACUGGGAUAACAUCGAGAAAUCGGUGCUAAUACCGGAUAAUAAAAAGAACUGCAUGGUUCUUUUUUGAAAGAUGGUUUCGGCUAUCACUUACAGAUGGGCCCGCGGCGCAUUAGCUAGUUGGUGAGGUAACGGCUCACCAAGGCGACGAUGCGUAGCCGACCUGAGAGGGUGAUCGGCCACACUGGGACUGAGACACGGCCCAGACUCCUACGGGAGGCAGCAGUAGGGAAUCUUCCGCAAUGGACGAAAGUCUGACGGAGCAACGCCGCGUGAGUGAUGAAGGUUUUCGGAUCGUAAAACUCUGUUGUUAGGGAAGAACAAGUGCCGUUCGAAAGGGCGGCACCUUGACGGUACCUAACGAGAAAGCCACGGCUAACUACGUGCCAGCAGCCGCGGUAAAGUAC